UACAGAGGGUGCGAGCGUUAAUCGGAAUUACUGGGCGUAAAGCGUGCGUAGACGGUAGCGUAAGUCAGAUGUGAAAGCCCCCGGGCUCAACCUGGGAAUUGCAUUUGAGACUGCUCUGCUCGGGUGCGGAAGAGGGAAGCGGAAUUUCCGGUGUAGCGGUGAAAUGCGUAGAUAUCGGAAGGAACACCAGAGGCGAAGGCGGCUACCCUGGACAAUUGCUGACGCUCAGGCACGAAAGCGUGGGGAGCAAAAGGGAGUUAG
rnacentral:rRNA from 1 species